AGCACGCACAGACAUGCUAACUGUCCAGAUUAUGGACUGGAAUAAGAGAAAGAUGGAGAACAUGUGGAAAACCUUGUGCACAAGAUUUCGUAAGACACAGCAGAAUCCUGAGAGGGAGAGGCAGAGCCUAGAGACCCUCAAGGGAGAGAUGUCUGCAAAUGAUGGGACUGUGGAACAGUGGGUCAGAGAUGUCCGGGACUGGGCUGAACAUGAUGGUGUGGAGUUCCUUGCCAAAAAAUAUUUUUGAUAAGGCAAUGCACAUAAGAAGACCUGAGGAGGAGGUGAUGAUCCUUGCUGCAGAAGUAACAACAGUGGGAGUUCCUCAAGAGAAGGGAGCAGACAUUGAGAGGUCUAUCCGUCAGCACUGAGGGUAGCCACUGCAGCGUCUCUGAAGAAGGACUUCGAGGUCUUCAGGCAGAGUUCAACAGAAGAAGGUCUCAGCUGCAGUCUCACCUUUUCACUGUGAGAAAUAAAUACUUGCACGUGGUAAGAGCAGGACUUGAUGGGUCUGCACUGGACCCUGAAGAGGGAGAAGAG